ACCUGGCGGCUGCUUUCACAUGCAAGUCGGACGGCAGCACAGAGAAGCUUGCUUCUUGGGUGGCGAGUGGCGAACGGGUGAGUAACAUAUCGGAACGUACCGAGUAGUGGGGGAUAACUAAUCGAAAGAUAGCUAAUACCGCAUACGUCUUGAGAGAGAAAGCAGGGGAUCUUCGGACCUUGCGCUAUUCGAGCGGCCGAUAUCUGAUUAGCUAGUUGGUGGGGUAAAGGCCUACCAAGGCGACGAUCAGUAGCGGGUCUGAGAGGAUGAUCCGCCACACUGGGACUGAGACACGGCCCAGACUCCUACGGGAGGCAGCAGUGGGGAAUUUUGGACAAUGGGCGCAAGCCUGAUCCAGCCAUGCCGCGUGUCUGAAGAAGGCCUUCGGGUUGUAAAGGACUUUUGUCAGGGAAGAAAAGGUUGGUGCUAAUAUCGCUGACUGAUGACGGUACCUGAAGAAUAAGCACCGGCUAACUACGUGCCAGCAGCCGCGGUAAU
rnacentral:rRNA from 1 species